rnacentral:lncRNA from 1 species
GGAGGCAGCGUGCAGGGCUGGCGCUCACGCAGGCCGCCCGCACCCUGCGCUCCACCCCACCCUGCUCCCUAAUGAGAAGAGAGGAGCUGAACCCAGACAGCCGCUCCCUGUUGACGCCUUAGGCGUUUCAAAACUAGACUGGCCGGAGCCGAUGGAAUGUCUUGGUCCAUUUCUCUAAGACUCAAUGGUAUGUCAUAGAAGAUCUUUGGCCAAAUGUCAGACUUAUAUCUUAGAGAUCCCAGAGUAGGGAGUAAGUACUAAAGCUUCUAAAAUGCUCUCACUCACACGCUUCAUCAAUGCAAAUGACAGUUCGAAAGACCAAGAGCUUUUGGAUUCUACUUGGACUUCUUUUGAAAGGAGACUUGGGCUCAUCCUGCUGGCCUCUGCCCUCUGCUAACCUCCCAGGACUCCUGACUGGGCCUAUGCUGGAUACCAACCAUACAAGAUGAAUGUCUUGCCAAGCUGGAUGUGGAAGCAUAUUUGGUCCUUUGAAGGUUAAUGAUCGAUCCAGACCACAAAUGGAUGACAGUCAAAC